rnacentral:sRNA from 1 species
GGUGAACCUGCGGAAGGAUCAUUAAAUAAUUUAGAUGGCCUUUGCUAGUUUUCUAGCGAAUGGUUCAUUCUUUUUUACUGUGAACUGUUUUAAUUUUUCAGCGUCUGAGGAAUGUCUUUUAGCCAUAGGGAUAGGCUACUAGAAUGUUAACCGAGCUGAAAGUCAGGCUUAGGCCUGGUAUCCUAUUAAUUAUUUACCAAAAGAAUUCAGUAUUAUAAUUGUAACAUAAGCGUAAAAAACUUAUAAAACAACUUUUAACAACGGAUCUCUUGGUUCUCGCAUCGAUGAAGAACGUAGCAAAGUGCGAUAACUAGUGUGAAUUGCAUAUUCAGUGAAUCAUCGAGUCUUUGAACGCAACUUGCGCUCAAUGGUAUUCCAUUGAGCACGCCUGUUUCAGUAUCAAAAACACCCCACAUUCAUAAUUUUGUUGUGAAUGGAAAUGAGAGUUUCGGCUUUAUUGCUGAAUUCUUUAAAAUUAUUAGGCCUGAACUAUUGUUCUUUCUGCCUGAACAUUUUUUUAAUAUAAAGGAAUGCUCUAGUAAAAAGACUAUCUCUGGGGCCUCCCAAAUAAAUCAUUCUUAAAUUUGAUCUGAAAUCAGGCGGGAUUACCCGCUGAACUUAAGCAUAUCAAUAAGCGGAGGAAAAGAAAAUAACAAUGAUUUCCCUAGUAACGGCGAGUGAAGAGGAAAGAGCUCAAAGUUGGAACCUG